CGCCUCGGGAGCCUCCCCGCCGGCCUUUUGCCGCCUCCCGCGGUCGCGCCCUUCGUCGCCGGUGGCCGCGCACGUCGCCCCGGGAACCGCCCCGCCGGCCCUUUGCCGCCUCCCGCAGGCGCUGCUCCACGGGAUCCGGCAAGGUCGUCUUCCAUCACGACAGCCCAUGAGAGGUCAUCUUCCGUCAUGGGUGCAGCUGACUGGGGCGUGGUAGUCGUCCCCAUCGUCUCUACUGUCCUCAUGCCAAGCGGUGGUCCUUCCCGGCGGCCCUUGCUCCUUCGCUAGCGCGCCUCCGGCGGCGGCGGCGGUGGCGGGCCGGCAGGUGGGCAAGCGAGCCAGGAACCCUAACCGUUUCUGAUGGGCAAGGCCAGCGAUGAUGGUGCAUCUCUCCGUGCGGCGGCGACGAGAAUCAUGCAUCCGGCAGUGCUUCCUAGGGAGGAGCUUCACCGGUUUGUCCAUACCGAGCAUGUAUCUUUGCCUCCAUCCCAUCCCUGGCUCGCUAUUUUCAUGAUAUGCGCCCCGUUGUUGCUCCGAUUGGUUGCAGAGUACUUGCAGAAUUUAAGCGGAGAUGUGUUGCCCCACAAUGUACAUUUUGUAGUGUCAGAUUUCCACCUCUUGUGGCGUGCCUCGAACAAUUUCAGCUUUUCCAUGUCUUUUUAUUAUCCUGAAUGUGUUCGUCCAUCCUAGAAUUUUUUUUAUCAGCCUGCUCCUUUACUGUCGAAUUCCAUUAUAAAGGGCACUUGUUCAAUCACAAGUUGCAAAUUUUGAAAGCCAUAAUACUUGCUCUGUAAUCGGUGCUUCUCUUGGCUCAAUGGUCCUACGUCUGAUCAUCCAUUCGACUAAUUUUUUUUUUGCAGUUGUGCAAGUCUGGCUGUAGCUCGUGAUGGAAGUUCGGGAUAGCCUGGAGAUGACACAUACUCUGAACUAACUCAGCUUCUUUCGUUGCUACUUCAGGGCCAUCUCAGCCAUUCUGAGCACCUACGCCUCACCACAGGCCACCGAAAACGCUGAGCAUAAGUUACACGAUGUUGUGAUCGAAAUCCCCAACCGGCUUCCGCACAGUGAGGUACAGAGAUAACGGAUUGGUAUACUUGCAAAAAGAAUCAUGGAAUUAUAUUCCUUUGGUUGUGCAUGUAGGAAAUUUGCUAUAUAUUUCAUUUACAACCAAUGGUAUGUACAUAGAGGAUUAGAAGUUCAGAAAUGAUUGAGUCGUAGCCAUAUACAUACUGGCUCAGCUCCCAUUUUGAUAUUUUCAUAUAAGCAUGAUUUUAAAUACAGAAAAUAAGUUGUAUGUUGCAGCACUUUGACAUAAAGUUCUAUCAAUAUUUGUACAGUCCUUCCAUGUGUCAACUGAUGAAGAGAUAAGAUUUAUUGGAUUUCUUUUGCUGAUGUAUUCGACUGCUUCUGCAUAUGGAGUUAGCUCAUUGGGAGAAUUCUGAAGCCAGGCCUUGAGAGAGUCUGGAAGUACAAAGUGCAGAACAAAAUCUGGAUUGCUGACCAGCUUGCGAUCCGGGGAAGUCCCCACUCGCCGAUGUGCAAGAUGUGCAACCUGAUGCCUGAAUCUGUGGCUCAUUUAAGUUGUGCUUUUGCGAGUCAAAUCUGCCAGUUGCUGUCCCUGGUGACCCCUUCCAUUGCGCCUGCAGGUUUAAUUGAGAACUCAGUUAUGUUGUGGUGGGCCAAGGUAUUUGCAAUGGUGUCGGUUGUCAAUAAAAGGAGGCCGCUGGAUUGGGCCCUAGGCACAGUUUGGAAUCUGUGGAAAGAACGCUACAGGUGAACCUUUAAAGCAAAAGAGGCAUCGGCUAAUGUGGUUUUCUCCCUGAUUAGGGACAAGGUUAAGGCCUUCAGGGCUGCUUGGCGCGAGGGAUAGCCUUGGUUUUUCUUGUUUCUUACCUUUAUCAUGUGCAAAACUUCUUUAGUUUAGCUCUUUCUGGAGGCUACUUUAGGCGUUUUUUCUGAAGCCAAGCAUGUUGUGAGAAAGAUAGCAGGAAAGAUGAAAGUCCAAUUCAAAGAGGAGCUGUGCAGAUAGAAAUUGAUGUGUCGUUGUGUUCUUUGAAUUUUCCUCAACUUACAUGAUGAUAGCGAACCGUUUAUAGUGGUUAUGUUCAUCUUCAAGCUCUUUAAGUGUAUUUCUUUGUA